rnacentral:rRNA from 1 species
GAUGAACGCUGGCGGCGUGCCUAAUACAUGCAAGUCGAACGAGGUGCUUGAGUAGCAAUACAAGAGUAUCCUAGUGGCGAACGGGUGAGUAACGCGUGGAUGACCUGCCCCAAAGUGUGGGAUAACAGUCCGAAAGGAUUGCUAAUACCUCAUGUGGUUAUCGGUUUUAGAAAGCGAUAACUAAAGCAGCAAUGCGCUUUGGGAGGGAUCUGCGUCCCAUCAGCUAGUUGGUGAGGUAACGGCUCACCAAGGCGACGACGGGUAGGGGACCUGAGAGGGUGG